UACGUAGGUGGCUAGCGUUGUCCGGAUUUACUGGGCGUAAAGAGCGCGCAGGCGGUCGUUCAAGUCGAGUGUGAAAGCCCCCGGCUCAACUGGGGAGGGUCACUCGAUACUGAUCGACUCGAAGGCAGGAGAGGGUAGUGGAAUUCCCGGUGUAGUGGUGAAAUGCGUAGAUAUCGGGAGGAACACCAGUGGCGAAGGCGACUACCUGGCCUGUUCUUGACGCUGAGGCGAAAGCUAGGGGAGCAAACGGG
rnacentral:rRNA from 1 species